GAUUAUUUAGUUUAUAUAAAACAAAUGUUUUGAAAACAUUAAAAAAGUAAAAUACUUAUUAAUCG
rnacentral:tRNA from 1 species